CUUAAUUCAAAACUUUUACAAAAUCUAACCCACCUAAGCAAAUGAAUCUUUGAUGGUAAAAUAUAACCUAAUCUCAUGUAAGUCGAGAUAUAUUUUUUUCCUAAAAAUGAUACUACAAAUUUGUCUUCACCCAUCAAUCUAACUUAGAUGCACAAACAAACUGCAUCUCAACCGAUACACACAAAUUUCUCUAUAUCAGCUGUCACACAAAUUUACCUAACAUAAAGCUGCAAAGUAUUGACCAAAGAUCCAGAAAUAUGGCACAUACCAUGCAGCCAUGUAUGCAGAAUAGAGGUCCUCGUUCUUUCAUUCUGGGUAACUGAAGAAUGCAGAGCUUUAAACAACCAUGACUCUUGCAGCAUAAGCAAGCAUAGCAGAGUUAAUGAUCAGUUGGGUAGAGUUGACAGCCUCAUUCUCGCCACAGCUUCCUUGAUUUGCUUGAUCAUAAAACGCAGAAUGAUUCGUCAUCCGCAAGCGCAUCGAUCACUGAAUGGGUAACAUCAACAUCAAUGAUCAAAGCCCAGAGGCUUUGUAGGAUUCUCAGCAGCAAGCAGCAGCCUUGGCAUAACAUCCACAGAAUAAAUGUGGAAGCAUACAGUGACAAAUUAAGAGAGAGUGACAGUAUUAUGAAGUAUGAACACAGAGAUAAGAGGAAACAGCAUUAUGCUAUAAAUAAAAACUUAGAACUGAAUAAAGAACUUAUCUCAUAGCAUUCCAACUCUUACAAGGAACAAUAGAACUCAUGACAUGAUUUUAACAAGAUAUUCUAUAUAACUUGUCAUGAGAUAGAUUUAUAUAGUCGACCAGAGAAAAGAUAUCCUUCUGGGAAUCUCAAUGCAAAAACAUCAAGUUUUCAGACUGAAGGGUAGUUAAAUGAUUUUUCACGUUCAAAUGACAAAGCUUACCAAAAUAUUUUGCAGUGCAUAUUGCCAAAAUAGUAGCUUCACUAUUUAACUUCUUCAUCUGUUCCUU
rnacentral:lncRNA from 1 species